UUGAAACAUUGGUUCCUGUAUGAUCACUGAAGUUAAGCAAUGUCAAACCUGGUCAGUACUUAGAUGGGUGACCAUUUGGGAAUACCUGGUGCUGA